UUGGGCGUUGGCAAGUCCGGUUUAAGCCGCCGCGUUGUGGUCGCGGUCAUCGCGGGUUCAAAUCCCGUCGCCCAAG
rnacentral:tRNA from 1 species